rnacentral:lncRNA from 1 species
CACAGUGAAUGUUUCUGUAUCACCAGAGCUUUUGUGAUUUGCUUUGGUUUUUUCACUUUUGGCAUUUAUUUUGGUAAACGAAAAUCCAAAAGUAGCCAGAAAGAAAUGAAUUCCUAAUAUCUGGGAGUCAAUAUAAAAUACAGUAAGUUCUAUCAGAAUAAAAACUUGACUAUGUAAUAACAUCAGAGGCGGUUUCAUUUGUUUAAUCUUUAUGGUAUACAUUGUUUCCAUAGUGGUCAUUAAGAGUCUUCUUUCUUUUAUGUCUUAUAAUCCAUUCUUGAUCAUCUCUGUGAGAAAGCAUUUAAAAGUUCACAUAAAUACUGUUGGCAAUAUAAAAAACUAUUUUGAUACAGUAUUUACCUUCCUGGUUUAGCAGUUGUGUUUAAUGGAAAGUGAGGAUUUUCUAUGUUUAGAAUACAUUGCUUUGAAAUGAUUUAAGUUGUAGGAUUUGAUCCUCAAAAUGUUUCAAGUUCAAGGAGGUUUUAUAUCCUACAGAUGGAGAAUAUCAUUGCUAUAUUACUGCAAUUGAGAAAUUAAGGUAUAAUUAAGGUAAUUGGAAAUUGGAAGUUUUUUUAUCCUGCUAUAAGUAAAAGUAUUAUGAUUUGCUUCUUUCUAGUUGUGGAAAGUUGGACAAGCAACUUAAUCAUCCUGAACUUUAGUUUAUCAUCUUUAAAAUAAAAGAUUAGGUUAAAAAAAACUUGAAGAAAUCUUUUAGGGUUAAGAUUUUGUGAUUUGGUGAUUGCUCCUAUAAUUAAGGAACAUCUUCUCUUGUGAAGUUCAUCUUUCAAUUGUUGAACAGUAGAGCUACAGACAUAGAAAACUUUCUGUGUGUUCAUAACAAUUAUUUUGCGUAACUGCUUAGCUCAGGAAUAUUAGUUCAGGAAGUAGGAUUUACAUUUCUGUGAAGUAUACUUUUGGCCAAGUAUGUUGUAUGAAAAUGUCAGGCUUCCUGAGAUGUUUGCAGCAAAAGUUUAUCUGCUGGAAUAUCGGGGGGCGGGGGGGUGUCUGUGUAGAGUGCAGUGUUGCUUCCCAACAAACACUUUACCUAGAGAUAUCGGAAGUGAAUAUAUUCAAUAUGUCUUAAGGGCCACCCUAAGUUGGGCUCAGAUGUUUAGCCAUAGAAUUCGGAAUGAAGCAGACCCCAGUUUGAAUCCCAGCCCAGGAAACUUCUCUUGAUAACCUUGGACAGGUUACUUGAUUUCCUGGAUAUCAGUUUCUCAUUUUUUAAGUAGGGGGUCCUAACACUUAUCCCAUAGGGUUGUUGUAGGGAAUAUAUUUUUAAAAAUCAUAAAGGUAAGAAAAAAACUUAACAGGGGGGAGGCAUCUAUAAAUAUGUUUAACUAUAUUAAAAACUACCCCUGUUGCCUUUCAUUAUGAAUCAGUGAGUGACCUUUCCAUACUUCCAACUUUCUUUGUUGACUGCCUUGCAAAUUUCAAGCCAUAUUAACCAGAAGUAGUCACUGAAAUAUUCAGAGUAAGUUUGGAGAGAAGUUUUCGCAUGUUUAGAUUUUUUUGUUCUCUAAAAAUAUGUUCUAUUCAAGUCUUCAUUCAGUUAAGUGUGGAUGAAUUCACUCCAACAAACAUUUAUGAAGUCUUGCUGUGUGUAAGUGUGUUGCCAAAGGUCAUUGCUUCUUCUUGGAAUGUGUGACCUUUCCUUUUCCUUACAGACAUUUCUGUAAAUUGAGAUAAGAGCAAGUUUCUAGAAUUAAUUUAUACAAAUUCUCUAUUUUCAAUGGUGGCAAUGAGGAGUAGACUUAGACAUGGUUUAAAAAAUUUUGUUCAUUCGCUUUUCAGUUAUGAUAUAAAGUGAUGGUUCAGUGAUUUCUUGAUGAGGAAAUCAAGAGCUACAGCACAUUUUCUGAUAUUAGUUUUUUAUAUAUUAUCCCAGUAUAAACAACACUUGGAAGAAUAGCAUAUCAUUGUGAAAUGAAGUUUAAAGUCUCGGAUUUUCAUUUUCUAGAUCUAUAAUUUAGCAAAAUACAUUGCCAUCUCUGAGUGAUCAUUUAGUUUGAGGAAGAUUAUAUUCAUUUACCCGUAGGAAGUUUCUGAUGGGAAUGUUAAAGUACUGCUCCUUCUCAUUUGUAAUUUACCAGCAGAUAGUUGCCUAGAAAUGAUAAUAAUUAAAAAGAAAAUAUGGGAUAAAUCAAUAUUAAAAUGGGAGAAAUUUUUUCUAGCUGUAUGGAAAACUUUGUGGGACAACAUUUAUUUUAAUCAGCAGAUUAUAUAUCUUUAGUAUAGCAACUACUAAUGUAACAAUUUAUAAUUACAGAGUUUAAAAUGAUAGAUUCCUUGAUGUUUUUCUAUAUGAUGUUAAUUCUUAGGUUAUAACCAAAUAUACUUAAUAACUUUACUAAAAGUAUCAGAUUUUAUAGUCUCAGUUAUUUAAAACUGUUUGUUUGACAUGGAUUAAUUUGAAUUAUUGAAACCAGAACAAUCUGCAAAAGUAUUCAUAAGAAAUUUACAUAAGAAGAAAAUCUAAAUAUUCAGCUACACCUUCUAAAAUGAUAAAUACAACACAUACCAAUAAGCAUCUUAUAAAGCAUUUGUUUAACUUUGAUCUUUAAAAUCUAGGAGGUGAUCAUUGAAUAUUUUGCUACAUUUUGACUGCCAUUUCUACUUAUUUAUUUAAGUUUCUUUAAGAGCAUUAGGUGUUUAUAACUUUACUUUGGUUUCUUCUUUAUGGCCUCAAAUUUACUGAUUUUAAAGUGUCAGUCAUUUCUAAGAACUUCAGUGAAUUUCUGCCCGUUACUGUUGAAGACACAGGUGUUUAGAGGUAUAUUUAUUAUGAAUCUAGGAGCUUAUUUUGUUCAUUCGUUCUCUCCUCAUUCACUUUUUUUUUUAAGUCAGGUGCCUUCUAUGUGUCAGAUAUUGCUCUAAGCAUUGUGGAUACAAAAGAAAUAAAAGUCCUUGUGCUCUUGGAGCUAUUCUAGUGACAGUAAAAUAUACAUUUAAAGGGGGCAACUACUACUGAGGAAAAUAAACCAGGAAAGGGAGAUGGGGAGUAGGAGGAAUGGGGGUUGCAGUUUUCUGUGAGAUGGCCAAGGAUAACCUCGUGGAGAAGGUGACAUUUGAGCAAUGAUAUGAAGGAAGUGAAAGAAUGCGCUUUUGACAAAAGAUGGGCAAAAGCUGAAAUAGGAAGGCCAUUUAGGAAGCUAUUUCAGGUAUCACGUGCGGGAUGAUGGCAGCUUGGAUAAGGGUAAAAGUAGCAUGGAGGUAGCGAGAAGGGAACUGAAAUCUGAAGAUAGUUUGAGAAAGAGAGCAAUUGCCUUGGGUUUUUUUUUUUUUUUUGACCUGGGCACCUAGAUGGACCCAGCUGGCAACUGCAGCUCUGAUUGGACACCGGGAACUUCCAUAUGGGGAGGGUGCAGCCCUAAAAACAAAACAAAACAAAACAAAAACCCACAAAAAACAAACAAAAAACCAUCUAGGCAGUUUGAUACAUAAGUCUGGUUUUCAGGGAAGACAUCUACAAAUACAGAUUCAUGAGUUGGAAGAAAUCAAAUACUGUUGGAAACCAUGAGACUGGAUGAGAUCACUAAGGGAGUGAGUAUAGAAAGGAAAGAAGUCCAGAUCCUGAGCCUUGGGGCCCUUUGGAUUCAGAAGUGGGGAAGGUGAGAAGGGGCAAGUAAAGAUUAGUGAAAAGGGUCUGCCCCUGAGAUGAAAGCCCAGCGAGGAGAGUAUUUCCAGGAGGAAGGCAAGACCAUCUGGGCUAAAUGCUGCUGAUAGAUUGAGCAAGAUGACAAUUGAGAAUAGAAUUGGGCUUAGGCAUUUGGGAGGUCUGUGCUCAUUGGCAGUCUUGGCGAGAGCUGUUCUCAUAAUGGUGAGAGAGCACAUCUUUGUCCUAAUUUGUGUGAUCCAUUACAUAUCUUUCACAGAUCUUACCUAUUUUAAGUAAAAUUGGUCAGUACUUUAUAAAUGACAAAAUACCGUCACAUGCGUUAUCUUCAUUAAGUCUCAUAGUAGCCUAAAAGAGAUGGAAUGACAGUAUCUAUGUUUGUCUAACAGAAGUUGAGACUGAGAAGUAAAGUGAUUUGUUCUAAGUCACCUCAAUAUAAGAUAGGGCUGUUUUUUAACUUCCUGCCCUUUGCUAUUCACAAUAGGGGAGAUGGCAAUAAUAAAACAAAUUCCAAUACAAUGUGAUAGAGGUGAUAAUAGCAUUUAUGCUAUAAUGAUAUUAUGAGCGCAUGUACAAGGUAUGGAAUUAACAUCAGGAUAGGGAAUUAUUGUCUUUUGGGGUCAGAGAAAACUUUCCCAGGUUGGGGUUUAAAAGAUGCAUAGCAUUUUAACAUAUCAUUAAAGGGAAGAACAUUCUAGGCUCAGAAAAUAUGAUGCGCAAAGACGUGGUGGGCUGCAACACGGGAUGAUAAUUGAAAUGUACUGGGGAUGCUGAAGCCACUUGAUUCAUGCUGAACAUGAAAGAGAGUGGAUGAGAAAUCGGUUGGAAUGGUUACAAGUGCUAGUUCAAGCACUAGCGGUUUUAAUAAAACAGCUACUAGGUGCCACCUUAAAUGUAUCUCAUGUCACACAAGAUAGUAACAUGCAGCCGAGUUAGAAAUGCCUGAUUAGGUUGUGAUGAUGGUUGUACAACUAUAAAUGUAAUACAGUUCAUUGAGUUCAAGAAAGAAAUGCCUGAACAGAUAUAUUUCAGGACAAAUGCAUUGUCCUAGUCAUUUUAGAUUGCUGUAACCAAGUACCAUAGUCUGGGUGGCACAGACACAAUAGAAAUUUAUUUUUGGCAGUUCUAGAGCCUGAGCAGACCAAGAUCAAGCUGCCGUGUCUGGAGAGGGCUGGCUUUCUGGUUCAUUGAUACUGUCUUCUGCUAUGUCCUCACGUGGUGAAAUAGGCAAGGGAGCUCUCUGGCAGCUCUUUUAUAAGGUAUGAAUCCCAUUCACGAGGGCUGCAUUCUCGUGACCUAAUCACAAGCUAAAGGCACCACUUCCCAAUACCAUAAUUUUGAUGUUUUAAGUUUCAACAUAUGGAUUUGGGAGAGAUACAAACAUUCAGUCUAUAGCAUGUGGAUUUUCAAAGUUCUAUUCUUCCUUCCAAAUUAAAUGUUUAUGCAGAUCAUCUGCAACUGAAGAAGCCCUAGUGAUUGUAUUUCUGGUCUGUAUCAAUCAGGAUGCUUUUGGCUUCAAGUAAGAAACACUUAACUAGAAGUGCCUUGAAAAGUAGGAUUUAUUUACUUAUUUUAUUUUUUAGUUUCAUCUUAAAUGAAUUUGGAUUAGGGCUACUUCAAGACGGUCUAAUUAAAAAAAAAAAAAAAGAAGAAGAAGGAGUUCCCGUCAUGGCCCAGUGGUUAAUGAAUACGACUAGGAACCAUGAGGUUGUGGGUUCGAUCUCUGCCCUUGCUCAGUGGGUUAAGGAUCUGGUGUUGCCAUGAGCUGUGGUGACCCUUAGCCUGGGAACCUCCAUAUGCCACAGGAAUCGGCCCUAGAAAA